GUGAAGCCGCCGCGGUAAUACGAAGGGGGCGAGCGUUGUUCGGAAUUACUGGGCGUAAAGGGCGCGUAGGCGGCUCUUUACGUUAGGCGUGAAAGCCCCGGGCUCAACCCGGGAACUGCGCUUAAGACUGGAAGACUAGAAAACGGAAGAGGGUAGUGGAAUUCCCAGUGUAGAGGUGAAAUUCGUAGAUAUUGGGAAGAACACCAGUGGCGAAAGCGGCUACCUGGUCCGAUUUUGACGCUGAGGCGCGAAAGCGUGGGGCACAAACAGGAUUAGAUA
rnacentral:rRNA from 1 species